CAGAUGGGGAAGGGUCUUACUUGGUGACAGGAUCAUCUCCAAACUUCAUGAGCAUCCGGAUGGCUGUUGGUGCCGUGUAGAACUUGGUCACCUUGUAUUUGUCCACAAUGCUCCACAAGCGCCCUUCAUCUGGCUCUCAGCUCAAAUGCUACCUUCUUAGAAGACUCCCCUGAACAGUAGCUGACACCCCCAUCCCUCCUGUUGUUAUUAUUCAUCACACCUGGUUUAUUCCCUACAACACAUAUUUUCAGGGACAUCAAGGGGCCCAGGAACAAAGGAACCAGGCUUAGCUCUAGCAGUAAACUCAGUGGAGCAGACAGACAGAGAACAGAUGAGCAAGCACACAGAAGCAGUGUUCAAGAGCAGUGAAGAAGUGGAUACCUGGGGUCGGAUGCACUUGGAUUUCUCUCUCAGCUUACCCUGUUAAGAGCCCAUGGAAUGGAAAGGCUGAUGAGCAGGGUCCAAGGAUAGAGCAUUAAGGAGAAAGCACGCAACAGGUGCACCUGGUUGUUGUCAAUACUGAGUCAGAGUCUGGGGCCUGGAACUCUUCACUGCCUGCCUCUGCCUCUUGGACGAAAGAUGUGUGUCACCAGGUCCAGCAAGAUAUAACUUUGCAAAGUAUCAAGACUGAAUUAAAAUCUUGUAUAGUGACUCACUCCUGUAAUAUCAGGAGUAAUAUCCAAUAAUAUCCCGGGAGGCUAAGCUGGGACAAAAAAAAAUUUGAAAAUCACUACCUUUGGACUUGAGGACAAGGCUCAGUGGUACAACCCUCGCCUGGCAUGGGAGAGGCCCUUGGCAAUCCAAGCCAGAAAAUGUGGGUUGUAGGGGGAGUGGGAAAUAAAGAGUCAUUUUUAAAAAG
rnacentral:lncRNA from 1 species